rnacentral:rRNA from 1 species
GAUUGAACGCUGGCGGCAGGCCUAACACAUGCAAGUCGAGCGGCAGCACGGGAAGCUUGCUUCCUGGUGGCGAGCGGCGGACGGGUGAGUAAUGCAUAGGAAUCUGCCCGGUAGUGGGGGAUAACCUGGGGAAACCCAGGCUAAUACCGCAUACGUCCUACGGGAGAAAGCAGGGGCUCUUCGGACCUUGCGCUAUCGGAUGAGCCUAUGUCGGAUUAGCUGGUUGGUGAGGUAAUGGCUCACCAAGGCGACGAUCCGUAGCUGGUCUGAGAGGAUGAUCAGCCACAUCGGGACUGAGACACGGCCCGAACUCCUACGGGAGGCAGCAGUGGGGAAUAUUGGACAAUGGGCGCAAGCCUGAUCCAGCCAUGCCGCGUGUGUGAAGAAGGCCUUCGGGUUGUAAAGCACUUUCAGUGGGGAAGAAAGCCUUCCGGUUAAUACCCGGGAGGAAGGACAUCACCCACAGAAGAAGCACCGGCU